rnacentral:rRNA from 1 species
AACGAACGCUGGCGGCAUGCCUAACACAUGCAAGUCGAACGAGACCUUCGGGUCUAGUGGCGCACGGGUGCGUAACGCGUGGGAACCUGCCCUUAGGUUCGGAAUAACUCCCCGAAAGGGGUGCUAAUACCGGAUAAUGUCUUCGGACCAAAGAUUUAUCGCCUUUGGAUGGGCCCGCGUUGGAUUAGCUAGUUGGUAGGGUAAAAGCCUACCAAGGCGACGAUCCAUAGCUGGUCUGAGAGGAUGAUCAGCCACACUGGGACUGAGACACGGCCCAGACCCCUAGGGGGGGGCGGGGUGGGGAAUAUGGAAAAAGGGGCAAAGCCUUAACCCAGAAUUGCCGGGGGAGUAUAGAGGCCUUUGGGUUUGAAAAUCUUUUUUCCCGGGGAUAAAAAGGACGUUACGGGAAAAAUAAGCCCCGGCUAACUCCGUC